UAAGGGAUAUUGGUCAAUGGACGCAAGUCUGAACCAGCCAUGCCGCGUGAAGGAUGAAGGUCCUCUGGAUUGUAAACUUCUUUUAUCUGGGACGAAAACGGGAUUUUUAUCUCAAUUGACGGUACCAGAGGAAUAAGCACCGGCUAACUCCGUGCCAGCAGCCGCGGUAAUACGGAGGGUGCGAGCGUUAUCCGGAUUUACUGGGUUUAAAGGGUGCGUAGGUGGGCUUAUAAGUCAGUGGUGAAAUCUCCGAGCUUAACUUGGAAACUGCCGUUGAUACUAUAGGUCUUGAAUUAUCUGGAGGUAAGCGGAAUAUGUCAUGUAGCGGUGAAAUGCUUAGAUAUGACAUAGAACACCAAUUGCGAAGGCAGCUUACUACAUAUAAAUUGACGCUGAGGCACGAAAGCGUGGGGAUCAAACA
rnacentral:rRNA from 1 species